GGCUCAGUUGGUAAGGGCAUGGUGCUAGCAACGUCAAGGUCAUGGGUUCAAGUCCCAU
rnacentral:tRNA from 1 species